rfam:Myotis davidii contig218983, whole genome shotgun sequence.
UUGACUUAACCUAGAAAAUUACACUGGCAGGACACACAACAACCUCCCUCUCAGUUUAGGAGGGUCAUCCUGAGUAUAGGGCUGGCUCUUAAAGGCACAAGAGGACAAA